GAUGAACGCUAGCGGCAGGCUUAACACAUGCAAGUCGAGGGGUAACAGAGAAAAGCUUGCUUUUUUGCUGACGACCGGCGAACGGGUGCGUAACGCGUAUAGAAUCUGCCUUGUACAGGAGGAUAGCCUUUAGAAAUGAAGAUUAAUACUCCAUAAUAUUGGGAAGUGGCAUCACUAUCUAAUUAAAGAUUUAUCGGUACAAGAUGACUAUGCGUCCUAUUAGCUAGAUGGUAAGGUAACGGCUUACCAUGGCAACGAUAGGUAGGGGGUCUGAGAGGAUUAUCCCCCACACUGGUACUGAGACACGGACCAGACUCCUACGGGAGGCAGCAGUGAGGAAUAUUGGUCAAUGGAGGCAACUCUGAACCAGCCAUGCCGCGUGCAGGAAGACUGCCCUAUGGGUUGUAAACUGCUUUUAUACGGGAAGAAACUUACUCACGUGUGGGUAACUGACGGUACCGUAAGAAUAAGCACCGGCUAACUCCG
rnacentral:rRNA from 1 species